UAGCAAUAUUCUGGUGGCGACCGGCGCACGGGUGAGUAACACGUAUGCAACCUACCUGUAAGAGGGGAAUAACCCGGAGAAAUUCGGACUAAUACCGCAUAAUACCUUUAAGCUGCAUGGCUUAAAGGUUAAACAUUUAUGGCUUACAGAUGGGCAUGCGUAACAUUAGAUAGUUGGUGAGGUAACGGCUCACCAAGUCAACGAUGUUUAGGGGUUCUGAGAGGAAGGUCCCCCCACACUGGUACUGAGACACGGACCAGACUCCUACGGGAGGCAGCAGUGAGGAAUAUUGGUCAAUGGGCGAGAGCCUGAACCAGCCAAGUAGCGUGAAGGAUGACGG
rnacentral:rRNA from 1 species